GUGGGAAUCCUUGUCCAUGUGAGCAGACAGCUCCCACAAAUAGAGACAGUUGGCAAUAAGUUUGUUUGCUCCCAGGGACAGAAGAAAGCGUCACAGAUCUUGCUAAAAAAACAGGAGCAGCCAAGUCCAGACAGCAUCAGAGAAGGAGUUCAGGCUCAGAAGAACUGACUUUGUCAACUAUUUAAAGACCUACCUAGGACUACUUUUUUGAGACUGGAAUGGGACUUGUGGACAAAGAGCUUCAUCAUGGAAGGAGAAAGAGCUUGGAG